UCGGCCGAAAAUUAAAUCUCAGAUCUAGUAAGAUCUGACCGUCCGAUGGGUUUCAUUUUAAUAUAUGUUGAUAUUCGUGGCGAGGGCUUCGUAUCGGUAUAUUGGUCGGCCAUUUUUGGCCGGCCGGCGGCGGUCGCCGGCGGUGGCAGUGUGUUGGAAAGAAAAGAAAAAAAAGAAAGGAAAAAGAAUAAAAGGAAAUAAAAAAUAAAAAAAAUAUAAGGAAAAAUGAAAUGAGGGCUUUUGGGGUUGGGCAUGUCGGGUUAGGUUUUAGCCUAGGAUGGCGGGGCCCGAUUGGGUUUUAGGAUGGCCCAAUGUGUUGGGCAUGACUGACCCAGUUGUGGCAGCCCUUGGGCUGGCCCACUCGGCUUGUUCUCCCUUGUCGCUUGUCCGGGAACCUAGGAUGACUUGGUUAGGUUGGUCCUACUCGGGAUAUCGAUGUCAGUUUAAUUUGGGUUCUCUUUAGGUCUCCUAGAAUUGGCGAUAUGAUUGGCGAGUCAUUUUGUUGAUCGGAUUCCUAAGGACGAAGCCCUAUUAGACGACUCGAGGCCGAGUAAGACUGACCCCGAGUGCGUUCUAGGCUAGCCUAUGAUGAUGACGUGGGUUUAUUUCGAAUCCUGAUUUCUGAUGGAUUCCUUUUAUCUGAGGCUAGAAUAUUGCAAUUUAUUCCUUUUAAACCAUUUAUUAAAUUAUUAAUUAAUUAUUAAGUUUUCAAGAAAAUUUAUCAAUUUAGUUAUAAAUAUAUAUAUGUAUGUAUUUUUGAUAAAGGAGGAAUUUAGAUAAAAAAAUAUAUUAUCUAUAUUAAAAGAAAACUAGUUUAUGGGUAAAUAUAUAUAUAUAUAUAUAUAUUAUGAUAUUGCAGCCUAUAAGUGGGUGUGUAGUUCCACUAUACACUUACGCGUAGCAAGCAAAGCGAGACAUGAUGACGUAGUCGAUGGCUUAGCUCGACGAAUUCCAUGACGCCAGAUUUGAAUAUUGCGCGGGCCAAGGCUCAGAUUCUCAGGAUUUUGUUCGAUCUUCUCCCCAGACUCGGACUUGAGUCAUCAUUUCCCAGGCGAGUAGACAGGAUAUGUUAUGAUUACCUUAUAUUAUGCACGUAUAUACUGUUUUAUUCAUAAAUAUUAUAACCUUGUAUAAAUUUUUAUAUGCAUAACUCGUACAUGAUUUUUAUAUGCGGAUCAUAGAAAAAUACUCUUAAAUGUUUCUAAUUUGCAUGAAAUAUUUUCAUCCUACUGGGAGAGACAUAAACUGAAAGAUACCCUAAUUGAUUUCUUGUUUUGAGAAUGUGAAUUAUUGAAUGAUAUGGUGUAUUUUAGGCACCACAUGAAAUGAUAAAUGAUUAUGACUUGUGCAUAAAUUAGGGUAUUAUUUGCAUUAUUAUUAGAGGACUAUCUAGUAGAUUCCCUGGUGACUCACAGCAGGAAAAGAUCAUGGUACUGUGAGGCUUGGCAUGCCAAGGCCAUGAGAGACACGGAUAGUAUGUUUCAGCACUGCUAUCACGUGGGCCUUUAUGAUGAUAUUGUGUGAUGAUGAUGUAUGUGCCGAUAUAUAUACUUGUGUGCAUGUGUAUAUAGGCGUUAGGCCAGUUUCUACUAGUGUGUCAUCAGAAUCAGUGCAUGCAUCUCAUACAAAAGUAUAGGGGACUUGGGUGGUUAGGGAACAACUUAUGGGGGUUGUCUUUAAGCACCUAUUUUUCCUACACUAUGUUUUUCUUUGAAAUCUCAAAUUAUUUAACUUAUGGUUUAUAAUUCCACUGUUUAUACUGUUAUUACGUUAUUAUAC